rnacentral:rRNA from 1 species
CACUGGUCGAGUGAUCCUGCGCCGAAGAUUUCCGGGGCUAAAACUUACUACCGAAGCUACGGCAUCAGUAAUGAUGGGUAGGGGAGCUUCCCAUACGGGUUGAAGCAUGACCGUAAGGACAUGUGGACAGUAUGGGAGUGAGAAUGUUGGCAUGAGUAGCGAGAUGUGGGUGAGAAUCCCACAGGCCGUAAACCCAAGGUUUCCAGGGGAAGGUUCGUCCGCCCUGGGUUAGUCGGGACCUAAGCUGAGGCCGAAAGGCGUAGGUGAUGGACAACAGGUUGAUAUUCCUGUACUACCGAUAACCGUUUGAGAGAAGGGAUGACACAGUAGGAUAAGCUAAGCACACUGUUGGUUAUGUGUGCCCAAGCAUUGAGGCAGUCAAAGUAGGUAAAUCCGCUUUGAUAAUGCUGGGAUGUGAUGGGGAGCGAAAUUUAGUAGCGAAGUAGCUGAUUUCACACUGUCAAGAAAAGUCUCUAUCGAGGUUAAAGGUACCCGUACCGCAAACCGACACAGGUGGGUGAGGAGAGUAUCCUAAGGCCAGCGAGAGAACUGUUGUUAAGGAACUCGGCAAAAUGACCCCGUAACUUAGGGAUAAGGGGUGCCACCAUCA